GAAACCUUUAACCAGGUCCAGAGAGGCCUGCAAGGAUGAUAGAUACGAUUGGUGAAGUGUAGACUUUUACCCAAAUUUUCUAGAACCAAGCAGGUGACUAACUUGCUUGGUUUUUUGU
rfam:Leuconostoc pseudomesenteroides PS12 contig_053, whole genome shotgun sequence.